GGAACACACUCUUCUUGCUGCAUUAGGAUCCAACUGGAAAACAUAAAGACGAAUUGCUGUAGGCUGGAAAAUCAAUUAGGAAAAAGAGGCUGUACAGGAAGCAUACUGGCAUCUGCUUCUGGGGAGGCCUCAGGAAGCUUCCAAUCAAGGCAGAAGGCGAAGGACAAGCAGGCUCAACUUUGAAAUUUCAGAAGGAAAAGAAGAGAUGAAAAGGAAAAUGUCACAUUUCAAAUCCUUCCCACAGUGACUCAUUUCAGAAGUGGGGUUUCGUCCUUUUUGAAAACAGAAUCAAUACUGUCUUUCAUGAAAACAGCUUUUGUUUCCCCUUCAGCUGCAGGCCUGACCCAUCCUUCUUGGCUCUGUGCAGAGCCAGAGAGGGAGGCCAAUGAGCUGCUCAUUGCGGGCCUGGCAGGAACAGCAGGGCAGAGCAGGGCAGGGCAGGGCAAAGCAGGGCAGGGAAGGGCAGGGAAGGGCAGAGACCCCUCUGCCUUCUUCAGGAGGGGCCUUCACUGUUAACACCCCCAUUCCCACCAGCUUCUAGGCCCUCACCCCACCCAAUAAAGCAAACAUCAAGCAGGGGACUGUGGAAGCCACUCAUUUUCCUAGAACAUCCUGGUCAGUGGAUUUCAGAAUGGUCCCAGCACCCCAGAAACAUUUGAGUCUCUCUUCCUCACCCCUAUAUGGGGGUGGAUCAGUGGACAGCCUAGGCACGUGCUUAGGGGAUACUUUAUUUAAAUGACUUAAUAAUUGUUACUUUUUGUUCUUUUGUAUUUUUGGAUGGAGAGACUCAAGCAUCUGUGCUCUGCAUGCCAUCCCUUUAACAGUUGAAUACACUUAAAAUAUGUGUACAUUUAGAGCACUCACCUUGGACUUGGACAAUUAAACACACUUAGGUUCAUUUAUUUAUGUAUUUAUUUAUUUUUAUUGUUUUGAGACAAAGUCUCACUCUGUCACCCAGGCUGGAGUACAGUGGUGUGAUCUAGUCUCACUGCAACCUCCGCCUCCUGGGAUCAAGCGGUUUUCCUGCCUCAGUCUCCUGAGUAACUGGGACUACAGGCAUGCCCCAUGACACCUGGCUAAUUUUCUUUGCAUUUUUAGUAGAGGCAGGGUUUCACCAUGUUGGCUAGUCUGGUCCUGAACUCCUGACCUCAGGCGAUCCACCCACCUCAGCCUCCCAAAGUGUUGGGAUUAAAGGCGUAAACCACCGUGCCUGGCCUAUUUAUUUCCCUGAUUACCUCUAAUAAUUUCACAGAAGUUGGGAUACAAAGCUCCAAAGGGACACUUCAUUCUAGGCCUCCAUCCAUGAUCACCCUCUACCACAUUAUUGAAGAGCUAAAGUUUGAGUUGAGUGUUUGAAGAUGAAAAAAACAUUUUUUACACAGACAAGGAUGUGAGUGUUCUGGGGAAGGAAACAGCUUGUGCAGAGGUGCAUUAGAACCAACAAGCAUGGCCUACUCAGAAUCCAGCAAUUGAUUCAAGCUUGUGGGGGGGACAGGGAGCACGUGGAGUGGCAGGAUUCUGUUUGAGUGGCAAAGGGUGGAUUGUGCUGGGGCUUGUAAGCUACACUGAGAAGACCAGGCUAUCCUGGGAUGAAUGGGAGCUUUUGAAACGAUUUAAGAGUGAAAUGAACUUCUGAGAUCAACAUUUUACAAGGAAUCUUAGGUCUUCUGCCUUGGAGCAACAUUAACAAUGGUCCCCUUUCUCCAAAGACUAAAAUGUUUCUCAGAUCAUAAGCUGGACAAUGAGUAUCCAACGGCAAAGGAUGCAGCAACGAUUUGAAUAAUGGUGUCUCCUCCAAAAUUCAUGCUGACACUUAAUCCCUGAUUUAACAGUAUUAAGGUUUGUGGCCUCUAGGAGGUAAUUAAAUCAUGAAGACUGUGCCUUCACGAAUGGCAUUAACACCCUUGUAAAAGGACUUGAGGUUGAAGGGAGUCUCUUCCACCACCAUCCACCAUGUGAGGACACAGCAACAAGGCACCAUCUUGAAAAGAGAGAGCUUCCUCACCUCUCUGCUGGUGCCUUGAUCUUGGACUUCCCAGUCUCCAGAACUGUAAGAAAUAAAUUUCUGUUCUUU
rnacentral:lncRNA from 1 species